rnacentral:rRNA from 1 species
CCCUACGGGGCGCAGCAGUGAGGAAUAUUGGUCAAUGGUCGGGAGACUGAACCAGCCAAGCCGCGUGAGGGAUGAAGGUACAGAGUAUCGUAAACCUCUUUUGUCAGGGAACAAAGGCGGGGACGUGUCCCCGGAUGAGUGUACCUGAAGAAAAAGCAUUGGCUAACUCCGUGCCAGCAGCCGCGGUAAUACGGAGGAUGCGAGCGUUAUCCGGAUUUAUUGGGUUCAAAGGGUGCGCAGGCGGUCUGUUAAGUCAGCGGUCAAAGCCCGGGGCUCAACCCCGGCCCGCCGUUGAAACUGGCAGG